rnacentral:rRNA from 1 species
AACGAACGCUGGCGGCGUGCCUAACACAUGCAAGUCGAGCGAGAAAGUCCCGGCAACGGGAUGAGUAAAGCGGCGAACGGGUGAGUAACGCGUGGGUAAUCUGCCCUUCAGCUCGGGAUAACCUGCCGAAAGGUGGGUUAAUACCGGAUGAUGUCCUUGUGGGGAUCCUGUGAGGACCAAAGGGGGCGAGCGUAAGCAGCUCUCACUGAAGGAAGAGCCUGCGUCCGAUUAGCUAGUUGGUGGGGUAACGGCCUGCCAAGGCGACGAUCGGUAGCCGGCCUGAGAGGGCGAUCGGCCACACUGGAACUGAGACACGGUCCAGACUCCUACGGGAGGCAGCAGUGGGGAAUAUUGCGCAAUGGGCGAAAGCCUGACGCAGCGACGCCGCGUGGGUGAUGAAGGCCUUCGGGUCGUAAAGCCCUGUCGGGAGGGAAGAAUCCUCGGUGGUCUAAUAGGCCAUCGACUUGACGGUACCUCCUAAGGAAGCACCGGCUAACUCCGUGCCAGCAGCCGCCGUAAUAC